UACGUAGGGCGCAAGCGUUGUCCGGAUUUAUUGGGCGUAAAGAGCUCGUAGGCGGUCCGUCACGUCGGCUGUGAAAACCCGAGGCUCAACCUCGGGCCUGCAUUCGAUACGGGCGGACUAGAGUGCGGUAGGGGAGACUGGAAUUCCUGGUGUAGCGGUGGAAUGCGCAGAUAUCAGGAGGAACACCGGUGGCGAAGGCGGGUCUCUGGGCAGUAACUGACGCUGAGGAGCGAAAGCGUGGGGAGCGAACAGG
rnacentral:rRNA from 1 species